UGCUGGGAGGUCAGACCCUGUGAGGGCUGUGGGGGCAUCAGGCGCAGUGGGCUCCAGGGAGCCUGGCCUGAGACCUGCCCAGUGCAUUGAGGGUGCACCUGGAGCCCACUCCGCCUGAUGCCCCCACAGCCCUCGCAGGGUCUGACCUCCCAGCAUGCACCUGCCCCUCCCUGCACCCCAGAUGUCCACCCUACCUGUUCCCUGACUUCCUCCAUCCUGUCCAGCAGGAUGGGCUGGACAGUGGGACAGCCUGUGUGCACAUUUUGUGGCAAGUAGGAGUGACACACCAUCCCUGGGAGGCACCAUGGUUCCUGCCAAACCCAACCCCAGAACUCUGUCCCUGAGGUGGUUUUACCAAAACCCAAAACCCAGAAUUGUGCUUGUGGCUCAGGGGUCAGCACCUGCUAGUACCAGGACACUACUGGGAGGCUGGGACCUGACCGAAGCCCAUGGUGUCUGUGGCCUGAGGACAGGGUGUGUUGGGGCCAUAAGUCCCGGCCACCAAUGGCCAUUGGGUCCUAGGGCCUCAGCCCCAGUGUUUGCCCUUCCCUGGCUCCUUCUGGUUCAGUCCCAUUAGGGCCCUGGAGCCCAAGACCCAGCACCCAAGGUCCCCUCCAGGAAUACUGGCGGCUUGGCUUCCUUUAUCAUGUUUCAUCUGAGAGCAAAAAUGUCAGAUCGGAUGCACAGAAAAAUGGCCCAAAUUGUUUAAUAACUAGAAGAAAUAUAGGAGCAGCAAGAGGGUAAUAUGGAGAGGGGAGGGCCUCCAUGACCGGUGUCUGCAGAGCCAGGGGUACAGGCACCCAGUGUUGUGGCCUGGCACCACCGGCCUCUCAGAGCGUGGGUGGCCCACUGUCUUUACCCGGAGGACAGCAGGCCUGAUCACCAGCUUUUCUACCUGUCCCUGUAAGCAUCACGUUGCUAGAAGAAAAUCUCAUGCCAGAGCUUGCACCAUCCCUAGCUUGGGGGUUAGGGGUUGUCUCUUGGUGACCUAAAUGAAAAAAUAGGUCCAGAUCAGAGUUCCUGACGCAGAGCACUCACCCACUCUUUGAAUCGUGGGAGGGGAGGCCUGGUUUUAGUUAAACCUAACCUCUUUGAGGAACCACAGAGCCCAAGACUGGAAGCCUUCAGAAUCUUCUGGCCCCCAACCCUCCCUGGGGACCCCUGUGGCCUGUCUCACCAGAGCACUCUUCUGUCUGUAGAUGUCUCAGCUGCUCUACAAGGGAGUCCCAUUUCAGGUGUGGGGCUGGGCAUGGUCACUCCUGCUGGAUGUCUAGAAGGUGGAAACUAAGGACCUAGGAAAAUGCCAGAUACAGCCUUUCCACCCUCAUCCAGAGCAGGACAAACAGGCCCGGUGGUGUCAGGAGCCCAGGUCUCCAGCUGGAGGGAACGUCAACCCUGCAGUGGGAGCAGGGGCCCAUCGCACAUCCUAGGCACAGAUGCUAAUGCAGGCACUGCAGAAGCACUGCUGACUGUAAGUGGUUGCCGUUUGUGGCAGUGAGCAUUUUGUCCAUUCUGAGGUUGGAUUGGUUUCUCCUUUUGGCCUUGCCCUGCCCUACAGACCAUAAAGGAGAACAGCAAGAAGCCCCCAGCAAACAUCCACAUAUGGCCCUGGACAUCAGCCACAUUCUGAGGAACAUGUCAUGUUCUGGGAGGGCUAAGGCAUCAACCUUACCCUGUAGGAAUUCUAGUGACUAUGUUGCCACCAUCUUGGAGCUCCAUGCCCUCAUAGUGUAAUGGCACCAGCAGAUCUGCCUGUGCACAGACUUCCUGUACUACCUCACUCCUGAGGGGAGAUGCUUCUGCGGGCCUGCGACCUGGUGCUCAACUUUAGACACCAUCAUCCUGGAGCGGCACUGCACCCUCACUAGCCAGGGUGUUGACGUCCUCAAGGCCAAGGCCACAUUCAAGACUUUGGACUUCAUUGAUGCACUUGUGCCGAGCAAGCUUAUCUGAUCUUCUGGGAUCUCUACUAGGAUGCUGGCAGCCCAGCCAGCUGGUCUGGCCCUGGACGUGCCUUCAGGGGCUGGGUAUGCUUCAUGACCUGUGUUUUGGUGAGUGGUAAGCAGCACCUGCUUCUAGCUUCACUGUUGGGCCAGAUUUCAUCCCCACCGUGGCUCUUCAUUGCGGCUGCUUUCUGCUCCCUCCAUGGACCCUGCGUGGAAUUGCCCCAUGUUUCUGUUUGGGCACCACUGAGGAAGGAAGCAUGAAGGACGCACAGGUCAGGCCAUUCUGUUGCCCACCUCGUGCUGGGUCUUUACUCCUGGGAUGGCUUCAGGGGCAGCUCCUUUUCCAUGCCUCCCCCCACCCAACAUCUCUCAGGUUGCUGCUCAAAGGUCACCUCUUGGAGGGGUCUCUCCCUGUCACUGUGUUUGGAACAGCUCCCUCAGUUUCUUUCUAGCUCAUCUCACUCUGGUAAUGUCUUUCAUUACCACCACCAUCUGACCUGGUCUUACGACCUGUUAGCUUCCUUCAUCAGACAAGAGCACCAGGAUGGCAGGGGCCUCAUCUGUCCUGUUCCUCCUGUGGCCUGGGUCCUAGCACCAUGUCUGGUACAGUGUAGGUGCUCAAGGGAAGUUUACUUUAUAGAACUGUCUACCUGGGAGAGGUUACUGUUAGUCUAAGCUGCACUAUUUGGUAAACCCCUUGCUGUUUUGCAGAUCCUGGUUGGAGUAAAACAUUCCAUGGGAACUCGGGCUGUGAGAAAUGUCCUAACCACCUGACUGCAGAAACAUCCUUAUCACAUCCUGCUGGGCAAAGGCCCAACAGCCUGACUUCAGGAACAUCCUUAUCAUCUUCUACUGAGCAGCAAGCUAUACUGUCCAGAGCCCUCCCUCCCAGCGCUAUGAUUACCCCAGCCUGUGAGCGGCAGUGGGCACUGACACUAAGCUGGUUUCCCCCUCCGCAGGGUUUUGCUAGUAAUAAACCUGUGUUGCUGUUGAA
rnacentral:lncRNA from 1 species